GACCUCGUGUUAGGGUAGAGUACCCGCCAAAUUUAAGCAUAUUAAUAAGCGGAGGAAAAGAAACCAACAGGGAUUCCCUUAGUAAGGGCGACUGAACCGGGAAAAGCCCAGCGCAUAACCUGGCGUCGUGACCCGGCGCCAGGGGUGUUGCGUUUCGGAGGGUCCGGCACGCAGUCUCUCACCGCCUAAGUUAUGCUUGAAAGCGGCCACUACCCAUGGAGGGUGACAGGCCCGUGUGGCGGAGCCCGCGAGGGUACGCGAGAGAUUGUCGGAAAGGGCCUCUCUGUAGAGUCGGGUUGCAGGAGAAUGCAGCCCUAAGCAGGUGGUAAACUCCAUUCAAAUCUAAAUAGACCACGAGACCGAUAGCGAA
rnacentral:rRNA from 1 species